rnacentral:rRNA from 1 species
UACGAAGGGGGCGAGCGUUGUUCGGAAUUACUGGGCGUAAAGGGCGCGUAGGCGGCCGAUCAAGUCAGAUGUGAAAGUCCUGGGCUUAACCUGGGGACUGCAUUUGAUACUGAUUGGCUUGAAUUCGGGAGAGGAUAGCGGAAUUCCCAGUGUAGAGGUGAAAUUCGUAGAUAUUGGGAAGAACACCGGUGGCGAAGGCGGCUACUCUGGACCGACGAUUGACGCUGAUGCGCGAAAGCGUGGGGAGCAAACAGG